rnacentral:rRNA from 1 species
GAGUUUGAUCCUGGCUCAGGACGAACGCUGGCGGCAGGCUUAACACAUGCAAGUCGAACGCUCUCUUCGGAGAGAGUGGCAGACGGGUGAGUAACGCGUGGGAAUCUACCCAGUACUACGGAACAACACAGAGAAAUUUGUGCUAAUACCGUAUACGCCCUCCGGGGGAAAGAUUUAUCGGUAUUGGAUGAGCCCGCGUUUGAUUAGCUAGUUGGUGAGGUAACGGCUCACCAAGGCGACGAUCAAUAGCUGGUUUGAGAGGACGAUCAGCCACACUGGGACUGAGACACGGCCCAGACUCCUACGGGAGGCAGCAGUGGGGAAUAUUGGACAAUGGGGGAAACCCUGAUCCAGCCAUGCCGCGUGUGUGAUGAAGGCCCUAGGGUUGUAAAGCACUUUCAACGGUGAAGAUAAUGACGGUAACCGUAGAAGAAGCUCCGGCUAACUUCGUGCCAGCAGCCGCGGUAAUA